ACGAACGCUGGCGGCGUGCCUAAUACAUGCAAGUAGAACGCUGAAGAGAGGAGCUUGCUCUUCUUGGAUGAGUUGCGAACGGGUGAGUAACGCGUAGGUAACCUGCCUGGUAGCGGGGGAUAACUAUUGGAAACGAUAGCUAAUACCGCAUAAAAUGGAUUAUCGCAUGAUAAUCCAUUGAAAGGUGCAAAUGCAUCACUACCAGAUGGACCUGCGUUGUAUUAGCUAGUUGGUGGGGUAACGGCUCACCAAGGCGACGAUACAUAGCCGACCUGAGAGGGUGAUCGGCCACACUGGGACUGAGACACGGCCCAGACUCCUACGGGAGGCAGCAGUAGGGAAUCUUCGGCAAUGGACGGAAGUCUGACCGAGCAACGCCGCGUGAGUGAAGAAGGUUUUCGGAUCGUAAAGCUCUGUUGUAAGAGAAGAACGAGUGUGAGAGUGGAAAGUUCACACUGUGACGGUAUCUGACCAGAAAGGGACGGCUAACUACGUG
rnacentral:rRNA from 1 species